UUCAAUGGAAAGGGGGGAAUCGCCGUUUCACAGCCGUUCCUCUACAACUACCUUUCGCCCAACAUGAUCACAAACGAAGACAGAGAAUUGCGUAGAUAGGAGGACGAAACGCCCACUUGUCCUGAUCGGAACGAUUGAAGAAAGAAAGAGAAUGGUGGCCCCUUUCGCCCAGGGGACAUCGUCGGAGAACAAUGUCGGGGACAGGGUGAGAACCUUCCGUUGGUUACGCCCUUUAAGUGUUGGUUCUUCCAUAUUUAGAUAUGGAGAUAGAUCCAGAGAUAGAGAUCUAUAUCUAAAUAUCGAUAGAUGGAUAUAUUGAGAAAUGGAUAUUGAUCUGGUUUCAAGAUCUAUGAACAAGAGAGAUCCCUAAAUAUCCAUUUGAAAAAAGAGAUGAAUAAAUAGAUAGGGCGGAGCCAGCUGAAGGAAGGUCGCGUUAGCGCCCCUGCAAUCUUUCUAAAG
rnacentral:misc_RNA from 1 species